UUUAAGGAAUGACUUGAAUUUUGUAACAAUGAAGGAUUUUUAGGAUGGGCAAGAGUAAGGAAUUUUCAAAAAAAAAAAAAAGUGGCACACUAAAUACAAAGGUAGAAUUUUUAAAAGAUUUAUUUAUUUAAAAUAAUGACACCCAGA